CAAAGGCUUUAAUCAGCCCCCAGAGCACCCAUACCCAAGCCUGAGGAGGAGAAGGACGCUUCCUGUAGGAUAGGCAUCUCCCUGGGAAGAUCCUGAGCCUUCUUGUAAGAAGGAACAUCUGGAGCCAAUCUCACAAGUGCAUGACACCACCAUGCAACAGGAACCCCAGGGCACUUGAGAAUUCUGCAGACUGCAAGGCUAAAAAUAACCAGCAUAUUCCUUCUGGUGGUGACCGGAAUACAAACACUCCCCACACCAUAUCAGGAAAACACUUUGCUGGGAGUGGUAAAAUUAGAAUGCCACCAUAAUGACUUAACUAGGAUGCACAGUGAGGAAUCUCCCACCUGAAGGCUGGGAAAGGGUUGGCCCUCCAGACAGAUUUGGGGAAACCAGCAGGCGCAAGAGGAUAAAAGGCAGGGUUUUUUCCUCUCUGGAUGUGGCCAUUACUCGUUCAGACCAACGACUAUGAGAUACCGGGGUAAUCUGCAGAAUUCCGUGGGAGCACUAGUGUGGUUACACUGUGAUCUUUGCUUUGUAAAACAUCGGUUUUUCCCCCUUUUCCCCGGAAUUUUGCUAACAUUUCCCAUGCACCAUGGCUAUUGCAUAGCUCAGGGGAGGCAAUUUAAAAGAUGUCAUAUUCUCCCAGGUUCGUACAGAACAGGACUGAAUAAAUAAGCCAUUCAACGCUGCUUUG